CAUAAAUCACAGGCUGCUUACAGCUGAAGCUGCCCUGAGUCGUCAGUGAGCUGAGGAGGAUUGACACCAGCCACACGUAUGUCUGCUGCUGACAAAUGUGCGCACGCCUUGGAGGGCGGGGCCAGGCAGGACAGAGCCGCCCAUGACAGGGGGACACCUCCUGUUCUAGAAUUCUUGGACUGAUUAUCCAUCUUGACAAAGGAGGCCUUGAAUCAAAUUUAAUCUGGUUUAGUGCACUUAUCAAAGAGACAUCGGAGAGAUCCCUUGUGCCUUCUGCCAUGUGAGUUAUAGUGAGAAGACAGCCAUCUACUAGGAAUCAGACCGUCAUCAGACACCAAAUCUGCCAGCACCUUGAUCUUAGAUUUCCCAGACUCCAGAACUGUUAGAAAUAAAUUUCUGUUGUUUAUAAGCCACCCAGUCUAUGGUAUUUUGUUAUAGCAGCCCGAAAAGACUAAGACAUAUGCCAAGCACCAUAGGAAAUGUGCUACCUGUUAUAGACACAUCUUCUAUGUGCCAUUAUCCACCCUUUAAAUAAAGGCCUUAGAAUGAGCUGGGCAAUGGAGGUGCGAAAUGUCAACCUUUGCCUACUCCUUGGCAUAGGGAAGGGGAG
rnacentral:lncRNA from 10 species